GCGACCCCAGGAUGGGCGAGGCCACCCGCUGAGUUUAAGCAUAUCAAUAAGCGGAGGAGAAGAAACUUACG
rnacentral:rRNA from 1 species